rnacentral:tRNA from 1 species
GGCCGGUUAGCUCAGUUAGUUGAGCGUAGCGCUAACAACGCUAAGGUCGUGGGUUUGAUUCCCAUUCGGUCC